rnacentral:rRNA from 1 species
CUCCUACGGGAGGCAGCAGUGGGGAAUAUUGGGCAAUGGGCGCAAGCCUGACCCAGCAACGCCGCGUGAAGGAAGAAGGCUUUCGGGUUGUAAACUUCUUUUCUCAGGGACGAAGAAAGUGACGGUACCUGAGGAAUAAGCCACGGCUAACUACGUGCCAGCAGCCGCGGUAAUACGUAGGUGGCAAGCGUUAUCCGGAUUUAUUGGGUGUAAAGGGCGUGUAGGCGGGAGCGCAAGUCAGAUGUGAAAACUCAGGGCUCAA